UACGUAGGGUGCGAGCGUUUGUCCGGAAUUAUUGGGCGUAAAGAGCUCGUAGGCGGUUUGUCGCGUCUGCCGUGAAAGUCCGGGGCUCAACCCCGGAUCUGCGGUGGGUACGGGCAGACUUGAGUGCAGUAGGGGAGUGCGGAAUUCCUGGUGUAGCGGUGAAAUGCGCAGAUAUCAGGAAGAACACCUAUGGCGAAGGCAGCUCUCUGGGCCAUUACUGACGCUGAGGAGCGAAAGCGUGGGGAGCGAACAGG
rnacentral:rRNA from 1 species